rnacentral:tRNA from 1 species
GGAGGGGUUCCCGAGUGGCUAAAGGGAGCAGACUGUAAAUCUGCCGGCUCUGCCUUCGAAGGUUCGAAUCCUUCUCCCUCCACCA